rnacentral:lncRNA from 1 species
GUUGCCACUAUUUUUCUCGAGUGGGCCAAACCCACUAUCUCUACAUUAUUAAAGAAUGGAGAUCAUAAGGAGAUUGGAGGUAUCCUAUUAUUUUCGAAAAUUGACAUCAGUUGGGGAAUGUUUUUGGUUCCUUUGGGCUUAUCAGUAGAUAUUGAAAAUAAAAGAAACCCCAAUGGACUAAAGGCCAUAUGAGAUAUACAUAAAUGUGGACGUGAAGUAAAGGAAAAAAAGAUAGACUUGGAGUUGGCACUUAAUUGAAGCAAUUGAGGGAAAGCAUAUUGAACGUGAGAGUGGGGACGCAUUAUUAUUAAUUCUCCAGCCAUGUUAAUUCUUGACAACAUCAGAAGUGGGCCGCAAACAUCCAAAAAGGCCACCAUGCUUGCAAAUCCACGAUCAGGGGGUAUUGUCCUGGUGUAAAUGGAGGAAAAAUGAGCAAU